rfam:Triticum aestivum genome assembly, contig: Triticum_aestivum_CS42_TGACv1_scaffold_049371_1BS
UUUAUACUCCCUCCGUUCGGAAUUACUUGUCUUGAAAAUGAAUGUUUCUAGAACUAAAAUACGUCUAGAUACGUCAAUUUUCAUGACAAGUAAUUCUGAACGGAAGGAGUACGUU